UCCCGAAAGUGACGGGUGAGGCAGAACUGGGAACUGAGAUGGAGCAUCCAAUGUCUUCUGAAGAGAAGAAAAAAAAGCACCAAUACCCAUUUCCUGAGGGUACAUGCCCAGGGCAGCACCUUUGUUUGUGCUGGGAGUCAGGGCAAAUUCCCCCAAGCAGUGCUGAGAACUAGCAGGAGUGUGGACAGAAACAGAAUCAGCAGGCUACCUUAGCACUGAGGGAAGUGCUUCAGAGCAUCCUGGAUCUUCUUGUGUGAUGACUGUGCUGCGUGGUAUUUGGGGAACAGAGUGUUUUCCGGCAGAUCACAUCUCUGAACUCAAGGGGCUGUUCUAGGCAUGAACACAUCCUAGAGAAUGAGAUAAAUGCAGUAUUGUGAUCAAGAAGUUUAGAGUCAACUAAUAUCCUACGUAGAAAGAAAGAAAGAUCAGGAACGAUCAUUUUGUGAAUGUGAUGCUUCAGCUGAAGUCUGAAGAAAGAGAAAGAGCCAGCAACAGAAACUCAAGGAGAGGGGUGUUUCUGGCAAAAAACAGGGUCACCAUGAGUUGGAGCUGCCUCUAUGACAACUAACAACAACAUCUUGGUGAACUUGGAGGCUGAAUUGGAUGAAAAGUGUGGAAACUACAGAAGUAAGCCCUUGUUCCAAGAACUUGAGAGUCAGAGAAGUUAAU